rnacentral:rRNA from 1 species
CGGUCCAGACUCCUACGGGAGGCAGCAGUGGGGAAUAUUGCACAAUGGGCGAAAGCCUGAUGCAGCGACGCCGCGUGAGGGAUGACGGCCUUCGGGUCGUAAAACUCUGUUAUAAGAGAAGAACAAAUUGUAGAGUGACUGCUACAGUCUUGACGGUAUCUUAUCAGAAAGCCACGGCUAACUACGUGCCAGCAGCCGCGGUAA